rnacentral:rRNA from 1 species
UACGUAGGGCGCAAGCGUGUCCGGAAUUAUUGGGCGUAAAGAGCUCGUAGGCGGUCUGUCGCGUCCGUUGUGAAAACUCGAGGCUCAACCUCGGGCCUGCAGUGGGUACGGGCAGACUAGAGUGCGGUAGGGGAGAUUGGAAUUCCUGGUGUAGCGGUGGAAUGCGCAGAUAUCAGGAGGAACACCAAUGGCGAAGGCAGAUCUCUGGGCCGUAACUGACGCUGAGGAGCGAAAGCAUGGGGAGCGAACAGG